UCCCUCCUCCUCCUCAUCCCCUCUCUUCUGUGCUUCCGCGCACUAACCCCCAACCCCAACUCCUUCUUGUCGGUUAUUGGCUGGAACACUGUUUGUUAUGUUUGCUGGUGCAGGUUGGCACAGUUUGUUUUUGUUGGUGUUUGUGGAGCCUGGACUAGCUACAAAGACCG